CACGCACACUGUUAAAACCUGGCGUUGAGGUCAGCGAGCAGGUGUCGGAAGUGUGCCAGAGCAAGCUGGCCAGGUUUUCGCUAACACCAUGACGGCGUCUAGCCUAUGACUGGGGUUUGAUAGUGACCUGAGCCACACUC